CCCCUCUCAGGGUCACACCUGGAGAGUUUCCAGUAUGCUACCAGUCUUGACUACAGGAGGGAGAGUCAAGCAGAGGCACAUCCAUUCCACUCCAAGCUUGGGCAGUGGCUAGUGAGUGGAAAGCAAUCUGCUACAAGU